UUGCAUUUUUGUGCCCAGCAGUUUUAUCAUUUCAAAGUGAUACAAAAAUCGGAGGGUGUGCUUCAGGACAAUGCGGGCGCCUCAGAGCGGUCAGGUAGGCUGUUGGGAGUGUUCAGGAGGCUGGAUUUAAGACCACGAGGACACCACAGAGAGGGUUGAUAGGCUGUGUGAAGCUUUUCAUACAGCACCAGCUGGCUUUCUGUCCGACUCCCACCCGCUACCGCAAGAACUGGUCUCAAACCCAACCACAGUCCCACAAUGCUAUUUUAGGUGUAUGUGAUGCAGCUCACUUGCAAGCCUUUUACAGAGAUUCUCACAUUGUCAAGAUCAGCCUAAUUAUAGGCCUAUAUAGGAAUGACAUUUCCUUGAAAGGAUAACUGCCCCGUGCUUCUCCGCCCAUGCAUAGGCUAUAGCCUACUCAAUCUAGUUGAGACCACACACCCACAUGAUCACUUAGGUAUGGAUACUGAACUUGAAGCAGCAAGAAUGAUAAAAGCAACCCUUACGUUUUGUAUAGGCCUAUCGGAUAUAGCCUACCUUUUAGGUGGAUGUUUUGCAGGAAGUGGCAGUGCAAUUCUUAGUAAUCAAUACUUAUUGUAGUGUCUUAGCUCUUAUUACUUAUAUAAUAAGAAAGACUAUGAAUACAAGAAAUUGAACUGGAGCUUCACAUUUACUAAAAACCAGUUAGUACCACAAUAACAUAGAACAACACUGCGCAUGACCAAGGUUGUUCCAUGCUUAGAGGGGACAUCAUUAAUUAACAGAACAUAACAUUCUUUCUCUUAUACAAUCAGAGUUACUUUUACCAAACCACAACUGAAACAUUUCCCAGAACAGGUAGUUAUUUUGCAUCUUUUGAUUUUAACUUGAACAGUUCGUUUGGCGGUCGACGUCACUGGCUUUCUAGCCAUCGCCGAUCCACUUUUCAUUUUCCAUUUGUUUUGUCUUUGUUUUCUACACACCUGGUUUCUAUUCCCCAAUUACAUGUUAAUUAUUUAACCCUCUGUUUCCCCCAUGUUUGUGUGCGUGUUUGUAUAUAAUGUUCAGGUCGUUACUUGUUGGCUGGUAUUGUUUUUGCCGGGUUCGUUAUUACGCCCGUUAUUUACGAGUGACCGGUAAUUUCACGCACCUUUAGUAUUUGUUUUAUACUGGUGCUGUUCGUGGAAUAAAUUACCUUGUACACUCA